AGGGGAGGUUGAAGGUCAGAACAAACUGAAAACUCGGUUUGGAGAAUAGGUCUAAUCAAGGCUCUUAAACCUAUGAAACAAACUUUACCCAAGAUGCUAACUGAAAUGGAUUAGUGACAUAUGCAUACAGAAUCACAUUACUGCUCAAAAUGAAGUUUGUCAAGUGCACUAUAAAUAGCAGUUCUCUUGCUGUUCUCAUGAUAUGCUGUGGAAGAUCCAUGUUCUAUCUCUUGAUUAUUUGACCAUUGGGAAGGUGGAGGAGAAUAAAGCUGGCUAAUUGUGAGAAGAUCCCUCAAUGGGAUAAAUAUGGUAAUUUGAAGUGAAUAAACAAGGGAAAAUCAGAAGAAUGCAGAUAAGGAGAUUUUUAAUUUUUAUUUGUAACUAAAAAAAAAUGAUGGAGGUGGAAGGCAUACAAGGUUGUAUCGUAUAGGAAACCUAGGUUGUUCAUCUUCUACAAAUGGCCUUAGGCACCAUGUUGAAUAAAGAGGAUCUCAUGGGCUGUUGAUGAUGGACGUUAAUAUGCCAUGUUGAUCAUUGGUAUGCAGGCUGAGACUCAGCUAGAUGGUUAUAGUUUUGAAUGAGGUUGUAGGCAGUUUCUUCGUGGGCAGAUUGGAAGUGUUAUUGCUGUGGUGAGUAAGAAUAGUGAUUCGAUGGGAUGAGGACUAAAAAGAGACACGGGCUGGCUAAUGUUUGUUUUAUGACCAAUCAUGAUCAAAUGGAGUUUGGUGAUUGAAGAAGUGUGGACUAUAUGCAAUGUUUAAUUAAGAAGAAGCUCAUAUUAAUGUGAUAGGGUUGACAGAAUGGAAUGGAGAGCACUGUUUGGAUAAAUGAUAUUACAACGUAUUGGUCUGAUUGUCCUGGACUGUGAUGCUUUGAGCAUCUGUCACUCCUGCUGUAUUUUGACCAACAUAUGAUAUAGUAAUUCUUUGGAAUCUGCAUGAUAUUAGCAGAGAAGUACUUCAAGAAGAAUUCUGCCAUUUGACAGCAAUUGCAAUUUAAGAGAAAAUUAUGGGACUUGGGGAAGCAGAUGGCUAUAUAACAGGGAAGGUUGUUUUUGUUAUGUUACUUAUGUUUUUCUUUUAUGUAGACAAGAUUCAAUAUGACUUUGUUGUAAAGCUAUUGUGUUCCAACAUUCACAUCCCAUCCUACGGUUGGUAAUUAAAAUGCCGAGGAGCAUGCGUAACCUAUCCUGCUUUUGCAUUCUCUUUCCUCCAACAUAUCAUCAUAUAUUUGAGUUGUAGAGAUUUCACCUAAAUCUUUGAAGUUCAGAUUCUCAUAUUUUCCAAUUUAUGUGCCGGACAGACAACGAUGAAGAUGCUGAUAGCCAAAUGGGCAAAAUUGAGAAACUUUCCUUGUAAGGAGGGUGCAUUGUUUCAGAGAUUAGAGCAUAGCAUAUAAAUAAAGCAGAUGUGAACUUACAACUGCAGGGUCAGAAUGAUCGUGAAAGAUGCAUGAGCAGAAGUAUUGACUCCAGACUGCAAGUUGUAUGUCAUAAAAACCUUCUGCUAUUGCAUCUGAUUCUUCUAAGUUCUAUCAUGUUUACACAUAACAUAUAUAAGUUUCAUAUGUUGUACACGUGUAUAUACAUACAAACACACAGAUGUGUGCACAUAAUCAAAAUACAAGAAUUCUUCUGACUUGGAAAAAAGAAAAAUCCAAGUUAUACUUUCUUUGAAAUGAGAUUGAAAUAAUACACACUGAAGUAUAUUGUCUCAUCCGACGUUAUCUUCUACUCAGUCUUGUUCAGUAUAAGUUGCGUUGUUAAAAUUAAGAGAUGCAUCUUUUCCCUAAGUUUACUGUAGAUAAGUUAGAAUUUGAAAAGGCAUUCAAAUUCAGAUUACUUUUUUGCCCUUCAGUUAUGUUCAUGCAAAAUAUCAGGAAAGCGUGAAAGGUUCAAGAAGCUUUCCACUCAAAUAUCUGUGUCUUAUUGUAGAGGAUGCUGGGGGUGACAAUAAAUAUGGAUUGAUGGCAAACUAGUAAAAGUUCAUUUCCUGAUUCUACUAGAAUGCGACUUUGUCAUUAUUCUUCUGUUCUUGCGACGUAGUUGUCAUUUUUGGUUGUACCAACAUUAUAAAACUUGUAGAUUUUUGCAAGAUGACAUGGCUUUGGAAGAUGAUCAAGUUUGAGAGAAGCGGAAACAAACCUAUAACAGGAUGCAAGCAAGCUAGAGCAACAUUAGAAGGACUUGACUGGAAUAUGCUUGACUACUGAACCACACAUGACUCUGAAUCAUACUUCUGAUCAGUGUUUUUGGGAUGCCAACCUACUUUAAAUCACCUUUAAUUGCUCUAUAACAAGCAGUACGUGCUUACAAGUAUGUAUGGAAACAAGAGAAGCUAUGUUGGAUGCUUUCAGGUAUAAUUUGCUGUUCUGUUGAGCUAUAGAUUAUUCUGCUGAAUAUCUCUUCUUUGCUUAGAUGAUUUUGGACCAGAAAAUCUCGUGUCCUGAGGGAACGGCAUACCUGCUGACUGGCUUGCAAUCCACGGGCGAGGAGUGGUUUCCACAGAGAUGUGGGUUGAUAUUGUGGAUACUAACCUACGGAUGCUUCUAUCUUUGAAAACUAGGGGUAGAAAACAUAAUAUUUCUGCUGAAGGCUAAACUUGUUAUUCAAGUCUUAUGGAAGAGGGUGUUAUUUAACUGUUAAUUGGAUCAGCCAAGUGUUUGGACUGGCUAAAAAAUUGCUGAAAUGGUUCAAGGGCUUGGACCAAGAGUAAUUGUUUCUGGUAGGACUAGGUCUAAUAGGUGGUCCUCUCUGGUGUUUAAAAUGAUGGUACAUCAUCUUUUUAUAUAGUCUGAAACUUGGAUCGGUCAACAUUAGGAAUCCCAUGUUCCAGACGAUGAAACAGUGGGCUGCUCCAGGAUUGUUAGGAAAAAGUACAAGUUGAUGGCUUGCAAGAUGGCAUUAACACGGCUUCCUGAUUUCAUAGUCAGAGUCAUCAUUUUUGACAACAGACAACGCCAUUGUGAGCACAGAGCUAAGUGUACCAUCUCAAAGCAGAAAACUAUGUGAAAAUUUCUCUAAAUUUGGGGAGACACUCUUUUUUUUGGGUGUGUGUGUGUGUGUGUGUGUGUUAAUAACUAGUAUAUUUAAGAUUUGAGAGAGAGACCUGAAUCUGACUGAGAGUUCCAAAAUCUUUUAUUCCUGUGAUGUAGGAUUCGAUUGAGUCAUGUUGCCUUUACUUUCAUCCUGGGUCUAUUAAUUUGUAACAUCUACAGUUACUUAGGCAAUUGAAGUAAUAAUUGUGGCUUUUGGAGGUCUAAUUCCAGGCUCUUAA